rnacentral:misc_RNA from 1 species
AGAAUAUCAAGGAGAUUCGUUCGAUAUGAGGAGCAAGGACGGAUGAAACACAAGAUUGAGACACCUGGCUAUCCUCCAAACGGCUUUGUACGGAGAGGAGGAUAAGGGUGGAAGAGAGACACAAUGCUGGAGUAGAUUCCGGUUUGCGUGCUGGAGAGCGAGUCGGGUCGAGUUUCUGGGUUUCUUCGUACCUGAGCUACGCG